rnacentral:rRNA from 1 species
AUUAUACAAUUAAAACUUCGGUGGUUAAAGAUGAGCAUGCGUCCUAUUAGCUUGUUGGUAAGGUAACGGCGGCCCCCGCAACGAUAGGUAGGGGGCCUGAAAGGGUGAUCCCCCACACUGGUACUGAGACACGGACCAGACUCCUACGGGAGGCAGCAGUGAGGAAUAUUGCGCAAUGG